rnacentral:rRNA from 1 species
GAUGAACGCUGGCGGCGUGCCUAAUACAUGCAAGUCGAGCGAACGGACGAGAAGCUUGCUUCUCUGAUGUUAGCGGCGGACGGGUGAGUAACACGUGGAUAACCUACCUAUAAGACUGGGAUAACUUCGGGAAACCGGAGCUAAUACCGGAUAAUAUUUUGAACCGCAUGGUUCAAAAGUGAAAGACGGUCUUGCUGUCACUUAUAGAUGGAUCCGCGCUGCAUUAGCUAGUUGGUAAGGUAACGGCUUACCAAGGCAACGAUGCAUAGCCGACCUGAGAGGGUGAUCGGCCACACUGGAACUGAGACACGGUCCAGACUCCUACGGGAGGCAGCAGUAGUGAAUCUUCCGCAAAGGGCGAAAGCCUGACGGAGCAACGCCGCGUGAGUGAUGAAGGUCUUCGGAUCGGAAAACUCUGUUAUUAGGGAAGAACAUAUGUGUAAGUAACUGUGCACAUCUUGACGGUACCUAAUCAGAAAGCCACGGCUAACUACGUG